rnacentral:rRNA from 1 species
GACGUAGGGGGCCAGCGUUGUUCGGAAUUACUGGGUGUAAAGGGUUCGUAGGCGGUGCGGCAAGUUGGGAGUGGAAAUCUCUGGGCUUAACCCGAGAGGCUGCUUCCAAAACUGCUGAUGCUUGAGUGUGGGAGAGGCGCGUGGAAGUGCAGGUGUAGCGGUGAAAAUGCGUAGAUAUCUGCAGGAACACCCGUGGCGAAAGCGGCGCGCUGGACCACUACUGACGCUGAGGAACGAAAGCUAGGGGAGCAAACAGG